UGCUGCUGCUGCUAAGUUUCCUUCAAAAGCUGAUGAAGAUGUUUCUGAAUACGAGAGAGAAGUGGGUGUUGUUGAUCGAAUUAAUUGAUGAGAAGAGAAGAUUUCUUUUGUUCUUUCUCGUCUGUUGCUGAAGAAGAGCUGCGAUUGAUUCAGUGAUUCAUAGGAUAUAGAUCUAGUGACCGUAAUCGAAGUUGAGAUGGGUUUAUUUGGUUCGAUUUAGUGGUGGUGUUAUUCAAUUCUUGGUUAUAAUCAAAAGAAGAUGGAUUUGAGAUGGUAUGGAUCAAUGGGUUUGUUCGAAUUGAUACUCACCUGAAGCUGCUAAAUUUUGGUUUGUUAGGGUUUACUAAAAUCAUACGCUCUGUAUAUUGAUUUGGCAUGAUGUUUUGGUGUCUGGGUUUUGUUAAUAUGUGCUGAAAAUGAGAAUUCUUGAUUGAAAUUUUGAUUUUUGUUUUUUGUGAGAAUGAUUGAUGUGGGUUUGUUUUG